GUGCUUCUUGACGUUAGACUUCUGGGCAAAGGCACGGCCACACGCAAUGCACUGGAAGGGCUUCUCCCCUGUGUGGCUAUACGAACAAGGCAUGCGGAUGGGCAGAGGGCCUGAGAAGGGCACCUCACUUCCCGGCCCUGUGCUGGAGACACCGGCCCUCAGGGCUACCUUCGGAUAUGCUGCUGAAGAUCAAAGUUCUUGGUGAAGGACUUGUCACAGUAGGAGCACUUGAGUUUCUGAGCUUUUGGCUUCCCUGCAGCUGGAAGGCAAUGGAGGAGAAGGAUGGUCAGGCUGAGGUCCCAGUGGAGGGAAGCUGGGAACCGCUUCUCCCCUAGGGUCAGACAGGCACACACGUUGGAAACAUCUCUAUCUAUGUGUAGGCACUGUAAGAGGGAAAGUCCAAGGCUUGCUCUGAAGGGAACAGACAAAGCUCUCUCAAAGGCUUCCUCUGCCUCACAAUGAAAUCCACCCUCUCUGUCACGGCCUUCAGAACUCCACUUCCUCAGCCUCUGCCAACUUCAGCAUUCCCUCCAUCUUGCGAUGGACUCCUUGCUCCUCGUGAUGCCCGCACACAUGGUCUUCCCUCAGGACUUUGUACCUGUUCAUCCCCCUGCCUGGGAAGCUUGCUCCCAGGUACCAACAUGACUUCUUCCUUCCCUCCAGAAAGAAGGGAAGCUGAGCCAUGACUUCCAAGGCAAAGCAUCAGGGCUCCUGGAUAUUCGCAAAUGAUGAUGCCCACCACCCACAUUGGCUAAGCAGUAGACAGAGGAAGGCAUGAGCCAGAAGGUUCAGGCAGGAGGAAGGAAGAGAAUUCAGACACCAGAGCAAAACUUAAGCUCUCAUCUUCUACCAGAGACCAUCCGACAGUGCCGGACACACCAAGAUCCCCCCUCCUUGACUCCAGGUGUGCUUGAAUCUCUUCACUUUGCUAGAGGGUCUUCUUUACACUCUCCUCCUGCCUGCCCUAAAAGGUAGCUGUUUUGAGUUCUUUCUGUCUGGAUUUUGAGGAGAGCUGCUGCGAAGCCCUGGUUAUGCUUUAAACUUUUAGUGUGUGUGUGUGUGUGUGUGUGUGUGUGUGUGUGUGUUGUGUGUGUGUGUGUGUGUGUGUGUACUUGGGGAGAUCAGAGGGGUAUCAGCUCCUCCUAGAAGCUGGACUUACAGGUAGAAGCAAGUGUCCCAAAACCAUAAAACUAGACCAUUGCAUAGGUAGAAAGCCAGCUUAUUGGGGGACAAACUGCUGCAUCAGAGAGUGGAGAGCCACAGCCUGACCGGAAAGCAAGCGGAUUUUAUGAUACUCAGCAGGGUGGGCGUCUUUGAGCUCAUGCAGGCUGUUUGGGUUAAGUGGGAACUUGAUGGACUUUGUUCCCCAUCAGUUGACCAUCAGAGGCAGAUAGGGUAAGCAGUGGCUUUCCUGCCAAACAAAAGCAUAAGGAAUACUGAAUUCAGAUUUCUGUUUACCCAAUAAGAAUCCCUCUAUAUACCCCAAAUCCAGCCUCCGUUGGGCAUGAGCUAUCAUCUUAGGACACAGUCAGCAGCACUGCCAUUUUUGGGCCUGCUUUGUGACCUAACAACAGGCAGCUGCUGCCUGAUACAGGUGCCGAGAAUCAAACACAGGUCCUUUGCAAAACCAAUAAGCACUCUUAACUACUGAUCUUUUUUCCCUAGCCCCACCAGCUAAAAGUUCUAACAUUACAUUGUUUGUUUGUUUGUUUGUUUGUUUUUGGAGACAGGGUUUCUCUGUAUAGCUCUGGCUGUCCUGGAACUCACUUUGUAGACCAGGCUGGCCUGGAACUCAGAAAUCAGCCUGCCUCUGCCUCCGGAGUGCUGGGAUUAUAGGCGCGCGCCACCACGUCCGGCUCCUAACAUUACAUUCUUAUGGUCACUUACAUAAACCCAUGUUCUUGUGUCUUGAUGCAAGUCUGGUGCAAAUAGAUCUUGAACUCAUAGAAUUCUUUUUUUUAAAGAUUUAUUUCUUUUUAUUUCACGUAUAUGAGUAUUUUGCUUGCACGGAUAUAUGUGUACUGGGUGUGUGCCUAGUACUUUGAGAAGCCAGUAGAGGGUUCAGGAUCUCCUGGAACUGGAGUUAAAAAAUCCAUCAGCUACUGUGUGAGUGUUGUGAACUAGAAAUAGUUUGGUAAAGCUGGGAUAUGACUCAGUUGUCAGUGAGCCUGCGAGCACAAAUAAAGCCCUGGGUGUGGUCCCAGCGCCAUGCACACCAGAUAGAGAAGUGCGUACCUUUCAUCU